CACCGACGACUAGCUUUUCAAUGGCGGCGUGGGCUGCGAAUUCGACGAUCGCCUUUGCCACAUCCGGGUCGUCGAGCACCACAUCCUUACAAUAAACAGCGGAACGGGAGGAAAAGUUCCUUCAUCUGCGGAUCGGUCGGCUGCUUGAAUCCAGCAGGAUCCUCCUGGCCCCCUGAAACACAUCGAAUCAGAAACUGCUAUGAUCAAGUACCAUGCUGCCAUUUCCGUCAGUCAUCUAAAUUCGCCAAAUUUAAGCACUAUGGCGAAAUUUUUUCCGAACCUUCGCAAUUGUUUGAGGCUGAAACUUUUGGCAUUGCAAAGAUUUAGUAUGGUUCGAUCGAUCGACAACUUUUUUUUUUUAAAGAAAACUUAAAUGUAGAGCAGAGGGAAUGUUCAGAAGGGUCUGACAUAAACUUACCAGAGUUGCACUUGGUGUUGACAUGCACAAGGACUAGGGUUUGGCCCUUGGUUACAAGGUUGUCUAUGGCCCACUUCAGUGCAUUUUGGCUCCCUUUGUCUUUGUCAA